UCUGUUCAUCUCCUUUGCCCAUUUUUGAUGGGAUUGUUUGUUUUUUUCUUGCUAAUUUGUUUGAGUUCCUUGUACAUUCUAGAUAUCAGUCCUUUGUUGAGUGUAUA